GCUUCCUACGGGAGGCAGCAGUGAGGAAUUUUGGACAAUGGGCGAAAGCCUGAUCCAGCCAUGCCGCGUGAGUGAUGAAGGCCUUCGGGUUGUAAAACUCUUUCAGAUGUGAAGAUAAUGACGGUAGCAUCAGAAGAAGCUCCGGCUAACUCCGUGCCAGCAGCCGCGGUAAUACGGAGGGAGCGAGCGUUAUUCGGAAUUACUGGGCGUAAAGCGUAUGUAGGCGGUUUUUUAAGACAGAUGUGAAAUCCCAGAGCUUAACUUUGGAACUGCAUUUGUGACUGGAAGACUCGAGUAUCGGAGAGGUUGGCGGAAUUCCUAGUGUAGCAGUGAAAUGCGCAGAUAUUAGGAGGAACACCGAUGGCGUAAGCAGCCAACUGGACGAUUACUGACGCUGAGAUACGAAAGUAUGGGGAGCAAACAGGAUUAGAUACCCUGGUAGUCCAUACCAUAAACGAUGUGUGCUAGCUGCUGGGACUCUUAGAGUUUCGGUGGCGCAGCUAACGCUUUAAGCACACCGCCUGGGGAGUACGGUCGCAAGAUUAAAACUCAAAGGAAUUGACGGAAGC
rnacentral:rRNA from 1 species